rnacentral:rRNA from 1 species
UACAGAGGUCCCAAGCGUUGUUCGGAUUCACUGGGCGUAAAGGGUGCGUAGGUGGCCAGGUAAGUUCGGUGUGAAAGCUCGGAGCUUAACUCCGAAAUGGCAUUGAAUACUAUCUGGCUAGAGGGUCGGAGGGGAGACUGGAAUUCUCGGUGUAGCAGUGAAAUGCGUAGAUAUCGAGAGGAACACCAGUGGCGAAGGCGAGUCUCUGGACGACACCUGACACUGAGGCACGAAAGCCAGGGGAGCAAACAGGAUUAGAACCGCCAGUC